CAUCUUCAUCUGUUUGAAUCUCCUUCAUUCACCUGUCUUUUUGAUUCGUUUUCAUCUUCAUCUAUCUCUGAUUGGGAAAGCAGCGCAUCUGAUCAGGAUGAAAUUUGGAUUUAUCUCACGACGGUCGUCUGAGAUGGACAUCCUAACAGGGGUGUACAUGAUGCAUACUUCCAAUUGUUUCUGAUGAUGUUUUAUUAGUACUUGUGUUUCAAAUUAUUAAUCAAUGUAUGGGCAUAAUGAUGAUUGUAUAUAAAAUUGCUGAUAUAUCUUUGUGAAGUAAUUAAUUACCUCCUACUCA